rnacentral:rRNA from 1 species
GAUCCUGGCUCAGGAUGAACGCUAGCUACAGGCUUAACACAUGCAAGUCGAGGGGCAGCGGGAUUGAAGCUUGCUUCAAUUGCCGGCGACCGGCGCACGGGUNAGUAACGCGUAUCCAACCUUCCGCUUACUCGGGGAUAGCCUUUCGAAAGAAAGAUUAAUACCCGAUGGUAUGAUGAGAUUGCAUGAUAGCAUAUAAGAUUAUUGUAGCGAUGGGAGUGCGUUCCUA